GUUUAACCACUUGUAAAUGUGCUGAUGUGGCCUCCAUAAAGGCCUUUUGUAUUAAAAAAAAUUUAACGUAUCAAUGUGUUCUCCAGAUUCGAGGAAAAUGUGUAAACCUAACUGCUCCCAUGAAAUGCCAUCACAAUAAUCAGCUCCCUUCCCAUAAAUAGAUAAAUGAAACAAAACAUUUAGAUCUCAAAAGGGGCACCCAACAAAUUCCUACUGGGCUGAGCACCCCACCUGUCCACUAUAGAUGCUCCUUUCGAGGUGACCAGUGUAAAGCAUAAAUUGAGGAGAGUCUUAAAAUUAGUUUAGGACCCACUGAUAUUGGAAUACUGUGACCUUGAGGUGGGAUGAACAUGAUAUGGCCACAUAUUGUAACUAAAUCCCCAAAUUUGUUUGAUUUUGAGUGGUAUAGUGGUG